rnacentral:rRNA from 1 species
AAUGAACGUUGGCGGCAUGGAUUAGGCAUGCAAGUCGAGCGAGAAGUGUAGCAAUACACGGAAAGCGGCGGAAGGGAGAGUAAUACGUGGGAAUCUGCCCUUAGACCUGGGAUAGCAGCGGGAAACUGCUGGUAAUACCAGAUAAUGUCUAUGGACCAAAGGUGUGAUUCCGUCUAGGGAUGAGCCCACGUCCUAUUAGCUAGUUGGUAGGGUAAUGGCCUACCAAGGCGAUGAUGGGUAGCGGGUGUGAGAGCAUGACCCGCCUCACUGGGACUGAGACACUGCCCAGACACCUACGGGUGGCUGCAGUCGAGAAUCUUCGGCAAUGGGCGCAAGCCUGACCGAGCGACGCCGCGUGCGGGAUGAAGGCCUUCGGGUUGUAAACCGCUGUCAGAGGGGAGGAAAUGCGUGGGGGUACUCUCCCAUGUUUGACCUAUCCUCAGAGGAAGUACGGGCUAAGUUCGUGCCAGCCGCCGCAGUAAUAC